ensembl:lncRNA
GUAGAGAGAGAGACAGUAGAGAGAGAGACAGUAGAGAGAGAGACAGUAGAGAGAGACAGUAGAGAGAGAGAGAAGAGAGAGAGAGAGACACAGUAGAGAGAGAGAGGAAGAGAGAGAGAGAGAGACAGUAGAGAGAGACACACAGUAGAGAGAGACACAGUAGAGAGAGAGAGGAAGAGAGAGAGAGAGACAGUAGAGAGAGACACACAGUAGAGAGAGACACACAGUAGAGAGAGAGAGACAGUAGAGAGAGAGAGAGAGACAGUAGAGAGAGACACAGUAGAGAGAGAGAGGAAGAGAGAGAGAGAGAGACAGUAGAGAGAGACACACAGUAGAGAGAGACACACAGUAGAGAGAGACACACAAGAGAGAGAGACACACAGUAGAGAGAGACACACAGUAGAGAGAGACACACAGUAGAGAGAGACACACAGUAGAGAGAGAGAGAGACACACAGUAGAGAGAGACACACAGUAGAGAGAGACACACAGAAGAGAGAGAGAGAGACAGUAGAGAGAGAGAGAGAGACACACAGUAGAGAGAGACACAGUAGAGAGAGAGAGGAAGAGAGGGGUGGGAUAGAGAGAGGGGAAGAGAGAGGGAGGGAGGGAGCAGAAGAAAGGGGGAGUGCUGCUGUUAUGAAUCUCUGAUUCGGUAGUAUUGGAAAUCAAUGUCAAUAUCAGGCCAAUAAAGCGUUGGGACAUUGAUAUUGAGGGUGUCAGUCUUUUCAGUCAGGCAGUGGGGCUGGCUACUCUUGGGUCCUCUUUACUCCGAUGGCGUAUCAUAUAGGCUGCUGCCGACAACGCUAGGACACCAUAGGUAGCCAGGACAAA